rnacentral:rRNA from 1 species
GACGGAGGAUGCAAGUGUUAUCCGGAAUCACUGGGCGUAAAGCGUCUGUAGGUGGUCAAAUAAGUCAACUGUUAAAUCUUGAGGCUCAACCUCAAAAUCGCAGUCGAAACUAUUCGACUAGAGUAUAGUAGGGGUAAAGGGAAUUUCCAGUGGAGCGGUGAAAUGCGUAGAGAUUGGAAAGAACGCCGAUGGCGAAGGCACUUUACUGGGCUAUUACUAACACUGAGAGACGAAAGCUAGGGUAGCAAAUGGG